AUGGACAGGUGCUUCACUGACAGGAAGAACUUGCUCAUGGACCGCAGGACCAUGGCUCCCAAGAUCGAUGACCUCAAAUUCUUACUCGAGGUACCGACCCUGAGGUCCUUCUUGGUGCCACAUGUGGUUGGUGGGCUGCAUUUUUUAAGUUGGUAUGAUGAACUGGACUUUGUAAAUGAGCACAUAUAUACACUGAAUCCUGGUAAAUGGCAGCUGAAUUUCAAGCACUACAUUAGUGAUUGGGGCAAUGGUCAGACCUGCUUGCAUGAAAAAAAGGGCAAUUUGGAUGUGCUUGCAGGAGCUCAGAACUCACCUAUUGAUGACUCACCUUGGAAACUGCACUACAUUAGUGAUUGGGGCAAUGGUCAGACCUGCUUGCAUGAAAAAAAGGGCAAUUUGGAUGUGCUUGCAGGAGCUCAGAACUCACCUAUUGAUGACUCACCUUGGAAACUGGCUGACAAGGCGACAGAUGCGGGGCCUUCUUCAAUUUCAAGUCACACAUGCCAUCGUCGUCCAGGUCAGUGGUGCCCCGUGCCCAUCGACGACAUCAUGCAGCUGUUCGCCAACGCCUGGAUGAAUCACUUCAAGACAUUAUUCCUUGACCAUAAUGUAGUGCCGCCCUGGACUAGUAGCUUGUCGCCUACACCUCAAUACAAUACCCAGAAGUGCAUCCGCGCCGGUAGCAAGCACAACGACCUCGACGCCAUGGGAAACGGUGAGGGAUUUAGUAUAGAAAGCUACUUUACAAGUAGUCUCAAGCUGGAGGAUAACAGAUUGGUCGCGACGUUAGGGAUCUCCAUCAAUGUUAUACUAUUUGUCUCCAGAAGUCCCUGGAUGAACUUACUACAAUCUUUAUUGUCAGGACACAUUGGUACUGAGCUUUCUUGCAAAGUUAAAUCUAUUAGCUUACUGGUUGUGGUGAAUGUAUAUGGAACAAUGAUUGCACAUAUUAUAUCUGAAAAUAUGAUAAUGAUGCCGAGAGAAGAGAGCAUGCGUACGAUCCAUGAACUUGAUGUGCGAGAUGGUAUGACUUCUUCAGAGAACCAUCUUGAUCCUUCCUUUUUCUUCAUAAUAUUGCCAACCAUUGAGAUUGUGGUGCGGGAGGUCGCGGGUGCUAAAGAUUGUGGCACGGUUUAG
rnacentral:rRNA from 1 species